rnacentral:lncRNA from 1 species
CCCAAACAAGACCUUUUUCUUAUUACUUGCCUCGCAGCAACUCUUAUUUUCAGUUUGGUUUUUGUUAAGGAAUGUAUCAACUAUAGCAAGAGCAAUACCUUUUGGUUCUGAGUUUUCAGGUGAGGGGUGUGUGUUAUUAGGCGAGAAGGGUUUUGGGGAUUUGGGAUGGUUUCUGUCCAAGGCAAAGGGGUUACCAAAAGGAAAGAAGGGUUUGUUGUCAAGGAUUGAAGUAGGGCUCUUGAGAGAUUCGGUGUCGGGAAAGGCUUUUGAAGUGAAAGCUUUAAAUCUUGGAGAAUCGAAGAAAGAUGGGUUUGGUUUUGUGCAAUUCUGGGCAGGGGAUGCUUGAGAGCUGAGAUC